rnacentral:rRNA from 1 species
UACAGAGGGGGCAAGCGUUAUUCGGAAUUAUUGGGCGUAAAGGGCGCGUAGGCGGCUUUGCAAGUGGCGGGGGAAAUCCCUCGGCUUAACCGGGGAACUGCGUCUGAUACUGGAUGGCUUGAAUCCGGGAGAGGGAUGCGGAAUUCCAGGUGUAGCGGUGAAAUGCGUAGAUAUCUGGAGGAACACCGGUGGCGAAGGCGGCAUCCUGGACCGGCAUUGACGCUGAGGCGCGAAAGCCAGGGGAGCAAACGGG